rnacentral:lncRNA from 1 species
UAAUAGAAAGGCUUAAUAUCGUUUUUGGUCUUUAGUUUGGGGGUUGUGUUCAGAAUGAUUAUAUUUUUUUUUUACGUAACAAUUGAUCCCAAGUUUUGAAAAAAUAGUUCAAAUUAAUCCUUUUUUGUUACGACGAACUCUCUCUUACGUGACACUGCAGGGUAAUAUAACAUAUGAAUUUUGACUUUAAAAAAAAAAUUACAUGUCAGCUUCAUCUUCCGCCUCCACUAACUAUAAAUUUAGGGUUUUUUCCCUUGUGACACUAGGGGCUUGCGGCCGUCGUCUCCUUCUUCCUCCCCCUCCCCCUCUCCCUCUCCCUUUCCUCCCCCACAAAACACAUAAGCUUUCCAAGCACUCUCUCGAGAACUAACAAAUGGGCAUUCACUAUAAAACCAAUCUGUUCAUCUUUAACAAUCUCUUUUUCCCAGAAGAACACAAACAUUUCUCAAGGAAACCCUUCUCUUAC